rnacentral:rRNA from 1 species
GACGAACGCUGGCGGCGUGCUUAACACAUGCAAGUCGAACGGAAAGGCCCCUUUGGGGUACUCGCGUGGCGAACGGGUGAGUAACACGUGAGUAACCUGCCCUUGACUUCGGGAUAACUUCAGGAAACUGGGGCUAAUACCGGAUAGGAAUCCUUGCUGCAUGGUGGGGGUUGGAAAGCUUCGGCGGUUUUGGAUGGACUCGCGGCUUAUCAGCUUGUUGGUGGGGUAGUGGCUUACCAAGGCUUUGACGGGUAGCCGGCCUGAGAGGGCGACCGGCCACAUUGGGACUGAGAUACGGCCCAGACUCCUACGGGAGGCAGCAGUGGGGAAGAUUGCACAAUGGGCGGAAGCCUGAUGCAGCAACGCCGCGUGCGGGAUGACGGCCUUCGGGUUGUAAACCGCUUUCAGCAGGGGCGAAGCUUGUGGUGACGUUACCUGCAGAAGAAGCACCGGCUAACUACGUG